AAGAGAUAAAAGUUGGCUUGGCAGGUGGGGACAGAUUAUGGGGAGAGCCUCUGAGGAGAAUACACAUUGAUCUUACACAGGAUCAUUGAUUUUGCUUUUUUCCCAGGACACCUCUGCUCAACUCCAGUUAUAUAGUUGUUAUUUAAUUAGGUAGUUAUUGAGUCAUUUGCAUUCUGCUCUUGUCCAGUAGCCUGAAAGCUUGGGAGAUUGAGAAGAUGGGUACUAUUCCGUGUCUUAAAAAGAAACAAGUGAAACUGGAAUGGAAAAACAGUAUCAGUGUUACAGUAAAGUGAAGUUAGACCACCUUUUCAGAACUCCUGCAGACAUUUUCAAGGAAGGGAACUUUUGUUACAUGUGAUUGUCUAACCAGGAUUCAAAAUGUAUCCACUACUGGAUAGCAACUGUAAACAAUAUUUUAAAAAUACAUCUUAGAGUACUUUGCUGAGAAAAGAUAAUUUUAUGUGCUAAAAAUUUCUAAAGGGGGAAAUUUAUAUUUUGUUAACUUACUCUGAGCUUCAUGUAAUUACACAGUAGCGGCUGCCUCAUCAUGUAAACUUCUCGCCUUGAGGUUAGGUAGGUAAUUUCACACCUCUUAGAUUAGAGGACGUUUAACUAUUGUUUACAUGGGUUAUAAACAUGAUAAUAUAGCUAUAUAAUAACACAGCUUUCCUCUGAACCAGACGUGCUAACAACAUCACAAUCUCUGUUUCCUUAAAAAUGGGUUGGCAUUUCCAAAGUUCCUUCUAAAUCUGACGUGAACAGGGAAUUAGAAGUCAUAACGCAAAUGCCAAGGUCCCUUAAGGCAGUGGCCUUCAGCCUUUCUCCCCCCGCAUGUGAAGGGCUGGUGUGCCCAGUAUUACCUGAAAAUCCUUGCUCAUGAAUUAUGUCUUACCACUCUUUCCCCUCUUUUGGAAAAAAUACACCUAAAAUGCAAGCAACUGAAUAGAUAUUAGGCUAUAGCCUGGACCAUCGGUUGCGAACUUCCAUACUUCUUUCUACCAACUCAACUAUAAUAGUCACAUAGGAUUAUUCCCGGUUCACAGUGGGAAGAAAUAUUAAAAACGAGUCCAAAUGUUGGGUUUUGAUUCACACCUCCCUGAAGUGCCUGGGUGCAUUUUGCUACAGCCUGCAUGCAGGAGAAAGCCCCGAGUAGUCUGAUAAGCAGAGGUUUUCUCCCUACAGGUAAAUAAUAACUGGCCAACAUUUAUGAAGCAGUGUGUGUUAAGGCACUUGUCUACGUGAUUUCUUUUAAUCCUGAUGAAAUUCUGAGAAGUAGCUUUAUCGAUGAGAAAGCGGAUUCUGGGAGCUAUGGCUCCAGGUCACAUUAAACCGCUGAAAAAGGCUCAAAUUUAGGUCCUGCUGACUCUCAGGCUGUCUUUAGAGGGUGUUUUGUUGUUCUUGUAAAUAAUCUCAAUAUGAACAAGGCCAACUGGCUCAGGGUGACACGUGAUCCCCAAUCAUUCUCUUUCACUUUCUGCCAGAUUGGAAGACGGUCUUGUGAUUAAAUAUUUCUGGCCAGCAAUAUCUUGCUGCCUACGGAAAAAUGAUAUUCCCGAAUCCUUGACAAUUGUUUCACUGGACACAGAAACAAAGCUUGGAAUGUCUACAGGAAAACCGCUGUUUCUCUGUACCUGUCUUUCCUCCGGCAAGAUGGAAAGAACGGUAUCACUUUAGAAAGUGGCUUUGGGAAGAAGGAAACCCAGGGAUGCUGCUUGGCUAUGAUUAGUAGACACUUUGGGGGGCAGGCUACGCCUACCACUGGACAUUUUAAAAUUUGGAAGCCACUUCUUAAGGGAUGAAGGCAGGAGAACCAGAGAAGGCCCAAACAAGGAGAUUGGUUGGCUGCUUGAUUGAUUGACUUGAGAUAGGAAGGACUUUUACUAUGGGCCUGCCUCUGAGCUUCCCAGGUGGCUCAUUGGUAAAGAAUCUGCCUGCCAAUGCAGGAGAUGUAGGUUUGAUCCCUGGGUCGGGAAAAUUCCCCAGAGGAGGAAAUAGCAACCCACUCCAGUAUUCUUGUCUGGGAAAUCCCAUGAACAGAGGAGCCUGGCGGACUACAGCCCAUGGGGUCGUAAAGAGUUGGACACACUUUCACUCUGAUUUAAAUAUAUAGUGUACAACAUAUUAUUAUGCAUUGUAUAUAACAAUUUAAUGACAUUAUAUUAUUAUAACAUCGUGUAAUAAUAUAAUGAUUAAUAUUAUUAAGGGCUUCUCUGGUGACUCAGUGGUAAAGAAUCUGCCUGCCAAUGCAGGAGACACAGUUUCCAUUCCUGAGUUGGGAAGAUCGCCUGGAGAAGGAAAUGGCAACCCACUCCAGUAUUCUUGCCUGGAAAAUCCCAUGGAUAGAGGAGUCUGGUGGGCUGCAGUCCAUGGGAUUGCAAAGAACUGGACACAACUUAGUGACUAAACAACAGCAACAACAGUCUUCUCUUUGCUUCCCUAAGGAACACUCACAAAAUGAUUCAGUUAUGCGCACACACCUUGGUCACCUGAUGUGAAGAGCCGACUCACUGGAAAAGACCCUUAUGCUGGGAAAGAUUGAAGGUGGUAUGAGAAGGAGGUGACAGAGGAUGAAAUGCUUGGACGGCAUCACUGACUCAAUGGACAUAAGUUUGAGCAAACUCCAGGAGACAGUGAAGGACAGGGAAGCCUGGAGUCCUGCAGUCCAUGGGGUCCCAAAGAGUCGGACCUGACUUAGCAACCGAACAACAGCAACAAAUAUGUAUACAUAUAUAUAUGUACAUAAGAUUUUUUAUAUGGGCCAUAUUUUUAAAGUCUUUAUUGAAUUUGUUACAAUAUUGCUUCUGUUUUAUGUUUUCCUUUUUUGCUGUGAGGCAUGUGGAAUCUUCACUCCUCUACGAGGGAUAGAACCCAAACUUCCUUCAUUGGAAGGCAAAGUCUUAACCACUGGACUGCCAGGGAAGUCCCUAUACAUUCUUUCUUUAUAUUCUUUUCCAUUGUGGUUUAUCACAGGAUACUGAAUAUAGUUCCCUGUGCUAUGCAGCAGGACCUUGUUGUUUUUCCAUUCCAUUUUCUCUCUCUCUCUCUCUCUAUAUAUAUAUAUAUAAAAGCUUACAUCUGCUAACCCUAACCUUCUCCGUCCUUCCCCCAGCCCCCUCACCCUUGGCAGUCACUAGUCUGUUCUCCAAGGACAUUUUGCUCUUGGCACUUUGUGUAGGCAUGUAUUGGACCAGGUCGUUGUUUUUUUUAUGAUGGUGCAGUUGGCUUUUAAGAGCUGUGGCUGGGGAAAAAGACCUUGGAAAAGCCACUCAGAGGUUGUAAGUGGCCUUGGCAGGGGCACAGGAACCAGGAGAGGAACUUAGCAGGGGCCAGCGAGCUGAAGAGGCCUUAAUAAGCAGUUACAGCUGGGGCAAGGAUUCAAUUAUAAAGAGAAAGAAACAGUCCCUUCAUACACUCUCCUUUUAGAUAUUAAAGGAGUGGGAAAAUAUUUGCCAUUUUUUAAACUGUGGGGCAGCUGGGUUCUCUCUGGACUACAGAGCAUUAGUGAGGGAUUAGUUUUCAGUGUGCUAGUGCUAGGCCUAGGUAGGAAAGAUAAACAAACAACUCUACUUUAAAUUCUGCUUUUAUGUUGUUUUGAACCAUCUUCAAGGGCAAAAGAGGGCAGGGUGGAUGGACCUAGUUUGAAUUCCUGUGGCCCAAGAAUUAUUCCCUCUAUUUUUGUCCUCAAGGCUACUAGAAACUAGUUAUUUAGAUACAAUAGAGAAAUCCUCCCCAGGUAAUGGUUUACCUAUGCAGUCACUCCGUCGUGUCUGACUCUUUGUGACCCCAUGGACUGUAGUGUGCCAGACUCUCUGUCCAUGGGAUUCUCCAGGCAAGAAUACUGGAGUGGGUUGCCAUGCCCUCCUCCAGGGGAGCUUCCCGACCCAGGGAUCAAACCUAUGUCUCUUACACCUCCUGCAUUGGCAGUUGGCAGGCGGAUCCUCUACCACUAGCACCACCUGGGUCCUUCUGUAUGUUCUACUAAAUCUAUCUUUAGGGAAAAAAGGUACAUCACAGACUCGGCUGGUAUUAUUAUUUUAUAACUGGGAGGUCCUGUAAGAACUAUCCCCAUUCCAAAGAGAUGCAGCUUAACACAUUAUUGACUGGGGGAUUUUUUGAAGAAACGAACACCUUUGUGUUUUUGGCUGGUAUUUGUUAUGUAAGUGAAUAUUGAAACAUUAAGGUAUUAAUACGUCUCUGGUCAAUGAGUUGUUAAAUUGCUAGAUGAUCUCUGACUCCACUCAGGCAUUGAAAUCCUCUCCAGCUGAGAGCAGAACAGCAAGAUGGGGGGGAUGAAUUUUGGACUUUAAUUUCUUUGAAUUUUAACUCAUAAAAGAAAGAAAGUUAUAUAUUGAGCUUUACUUUCUUUGAACUUUAAUAUCUCAUGAUUUUGAUCUCAUUUUUUGGAUGUUAAUUUCUUCCUAGAAAUUUAGUAAAGGGAAGAGGUUUAUGUUAAAAUUUUUUUCCCCUCAACAGAAAGACUAUGAAAAACAUGGUUAUAAGAAAAACUUUGAUGUUCUUAUUUUAUUGAGGUAUAAUUAACAUAUUAGUUUCAGAUGUACAACCUAAUGAUGUGAUACUUGUAGACAUUGUGAAAUGAACACCACAAUAAGUCUAGCUAACAUCCAUUGCCACAUGUAGUUGCAAAAUUUUUUUUCUUAUGAUGAAAAAAUUUAAGAUCUAUUCUCUUAGCAACUUUCAAAUAUGCAAUACAGUGUUAACUAUGGGUUUCCCUGGCAACUCAGUGGUAAAGAAUCCGCCUGAAAAUGCAGGAGACAUGAGUUCAAUCCCUGGAUCAAGAAGAUCCCCUGGAGAAGGCAACCCACUCCAGUAUUCUUGCCGGGGAAAUCCCACAGACAGAGGAGCCUGGCAGGCUACAGUCCAUGGGGUGGCAAAGGAAUUGGGUACAACCUAUCAACUAAACAGCAACAACAAUUAUUAACUAUAGUCACUGUGUCAUAUACACACCCUUAAGACUUAGCUUUGGAAGAUUGUAUCUUUGACUGUCUUCACCCAUUUUACUCAACCCCUACCUUGGCAACCACCAGGCUCUUCUGUCUAUAAAUUCAUUAAAAACAAUUCUACAUGUGAGUGAGAUCAUAUGGUGUUUGUCUGACUUAUUUCACUUAGCGUAAUAGUCUAUUUAUCUCCCACUUUAAAAAUUCAUUCAUCUGUUGGUGGACCCUUAGGUCGCUCCCAUGUCUUGGCUCUUGUCAAUAAUAUUGCAGUAAACAUGAAGUGCAUAUAUCUUUUCAGGUUAGUGUUUUGUUUCCUUCAGAUAAAUACCUGGAUGAAAUUCCUGGAUCAUAUGCUAGCUUUAUAUUUAAUUUUUUGAGGAACUUCCAUACUGUUUCCCACAGUGGCUGUACCAGUUUACAUUCAUACCAACAGUGAAUGCAUAAGGGUUCGAAUUCUUCUAUAUCCUCAUCAAUGCUUGUUGCUUCUUGUCUGUUUGGUAAAAGCUGUUCUAACAGGUGUGAGGUGAUAUUUCAUUGUGGUUUUGAUUGCAUUUCCCUGAUGAUUAUUUCCAAGUUUCCUUUUGCAUGUUAUUAUUUGACUAGUAUAAGUUUGUUAUUUAAUCUCAUUGAUAAUCCUCUGAUAUGCUAUAUGGACUACAUUGAUAGGCAUAAUAAAAAGUAACAGAAAAAUGAAUGAAAACUUAGCCUUGGAUACUGAAUGGCAUUAAACCAUUAAUUUAAUUAAUAGGGAACUAUUUUGGAACUCUUCAUGAGCAAAAUCUCUUUCCUACCAGUGUCCCUGGGAGCAAACAGUUGGCAUAAGAGGGCAAUGAAACUUCUGUCACAGACUGAAUAAUGGUUCCCAAACAUGUCCACUGGAGUAGGAAAUGGCUCCCCACUCCAGUCUCCUUGCCUGGGAAAUCCCAAGGGCAUAGGAGCCUGGUGGACUGGAGUCCAUGGGAUCGAAAGAGUCAGACACAACUUAGCGACUAAACAACAACAAAACAUGUCCACAUCCUGACCCCCACACCUGUGAAUAUGUUACCUUAUACAGCAAAAAAGGACAUUCUAGAUGUGCUUAAGUUAAGGAUCCUGAGGUAGGGAGGUUAUUCUGGGUUACCUGGUUAUCCCAAGGUAAUCACAGGGGUCCUUAUAAGAUAGAUGGGUACAAGAGGGCUCAGAGUGAGAGAAGAAGGUGAUGCGAUGACAGAAGCGCAGAUGGGAAUAAUGAGCUUUGGAGAUGGAGGAAGAAGCCAUGAGUCAAGAAAAAGAGGGGUCAUAGAAGCUGAAAAAGGCAAGAAAACAAAUUCUCCCCUGAGGGCCU
ensembl:lncRNA